rnacentral:rRNA from 1 species
AGUGAACGCUGGCGGUAGGCCUAACACAUGCAAGUCGAACGGCGGCACAGUAAGAGCUUGCUCUUACGGGUGGCGAGUGGCGGACGGGUGAGGAAUACAUCGGAAUCUACUUUUUCGUGGGGGAUAACGUAGGGAAACUUACGCUAAUACCGCAUACGACCUACGGGUGAAAGCAGGGGAUCUUCGGACCUUGCGCGAUUGAAUGAGCCGAUGUCGGAUUAGCUAGUUGGCGGGGUAAAGGCCCACCAAGGCGACGAUCCGUAGCUGGUCUGAGAGGAUGAUCAGCCACACUGGAACUGAGACACGGCCCAGACUCCUACGGGAGGCAGCAGUGGGGAAUAUUGGACAAUGGGCGCAAGCCUGAUCCAGCCAUACCGCGUGGGUGAAGAAGGCCUUCGGGUUGUAAAGCCCUUUUGUUGGGAAAGAAAAGCAGCAGGUUAAUACCCCGCUGUUCUGACGGUACCCAAAGAAUAAGCACCGGCUAACUUCGUG